UACGUAGGUGACAAGCGUUGUCCGGAUUUACUGGGCGUAAAGAGCGCGCAGGCGGUCGAUCAAGUCGAGUGUGAAAGCCCCCGGCUCAACUGGGGAGGGUCAUUCGAUACUGAUCGACUCGAAGGCAGGAGAGGGUAGUGGAAUUCCCGGUGUAGUGGUGAAAUGCGUAGAUAUCGGGAGGAACACCAGUGGCGAAGGCGGUUCUCUGGGCCUGUACUGACGCUGAGGAGCGAAAGCGUGGGGAGCGAACAGG
rnacentral:rRNA from 1 species